rnacentral:rRNA from 1 species
GGAUGCGAUCAUACCAGCACUAAAGCACCGGAUCCCAUUAGAACUCCGAAGUUAAGCAUGCUUGGGCGAGAGUAGUACUAGGAUGGGUGACCUCCUGGGAAGUCCUCGUGUUGCAUUCC